GACGAACGCUGGCGGCGUGCCUAACACAUGCAAGUCGAACGGGACCAGGGGCAACUCUGGUUCAGUGGCGGACGGGUGCGUAACACGUGAGGAACAUGACCUUGGCGGGGGAGUAGCCGGCCCAACGGCUGGGUAAUACCGCGUACGACCAUUUGGGGACAUCCCCGAGUGGUGAAAGCAGCAAUGCGCCGAUGGAGUGCCUCGCGGCCUAUCAGCUAGUUGGUGAGGUAACGGCNCACCAAGGCAACGACGGGUAGCUGGUCUGAGAGGAUGGCCAGCCACAUUGGGACUGAGACACGGCCCAGACUCCUACGGGAGGCAGCAGUGGGGAAUAUUGCGCAAUGGACGAAAGUCUGACGCAGCGACGCCG
rnacentral:rRNA from 1 species